GAUGAACGCUGGCGGCGUGCUUAACACAUGCAAGUCGAGCGAGAAGUUUUGAAAAGAUUCUUCGGAUGAAAUUUAAAAUGGAAAGCGGCGGACGGGUGGGUAACGCGUAGGCAACCUGCCCCAUACAAAGGGAUAGCAUUUGGAAACGAAUAUUAAUACCUUAUGAAACUUAACUAGUGCAUGCUAGGUAGGUCAAAGAUUUAUCGGUAUGGGAUGGGCCUGCGUCUGAUUAGCUAGUUGGUGAGGUAACGGCUCACCAAGGCGACGAUCAGUAGCCGACCUGAGAGGGUGAACGGCCACAUGGGAACUGAGACACGGUCCAAACUCCUACGGGAGGCAGCAGUGGGGAAUAUUGCACAAUGGGGGAAACCCUGAUGCAGCAACGCCGCGUGAACGAUGAAGGCCUUUGGGUCGUAAAGUUCUGUUCUAGGUGAUGAAAACUGACAGUAACCUAGGAGAAAGCCCCGGCUAACUCCGUG
rnacentral:rRNA from 1 species